rnacentral:rRNA from 1 species
GAUGAACGCUGGCGGCGUGCCUAAUACAUGCAAGUCGAGCGAAUGGAUUAAGAGCUUGCUCUUAUGAAGUUAGCGGCGGACGGGUGAGUAACACGUGGGUAACCUGCCCAUAAGACUGGGAUAACUCCGGGAAACCGGGGCUAAUACCGGAUAACAUUUUGAACCGCAUGGUUCGAAAUUGAAAGGCGGCUUCGGCUGUCACUUAUGGAUGGACCCGCGUCGCAUUAGCUAGUUGGUGAGGUAACGGCUCACCAAGGCAACGAUGCGUAGCCGACCUGAGAGGGUGAUGGGCCACACUGGGACUGAGACACGGCCCAGACUCCUACGGGAGGCAGCAGUAGGGAAUCUUCCGCAAUGGACGAAAGUCUGACGGAGCAACGCCGCGUGGGUGAUGAAGGCUUUCGGGUCGUAAAACUCUGUUGUUAGGGAAGAACAAGUGCUAGUUGAAUAAGCUGGCACCUUGACGGUACCUAGCCAGAAAGCCACGGCUAACUACGUGCCAGCCGCCGCAGUAA